CAGAGAGUAGUUUAACUAAAAUACCAGCUUUGGGAGUUGGUGAUGAGGGUUUAAUUCCUUUCUCUUUGA
rnacentral:tRNA from 1 species